UACGUAGGGCGCGAGCGUUGUCCGGAAUUAUUGGGCGUAAAGAGCUCGUAGGCGGCCGGUUGCGUCUGCUGUGAAAUCCCGGGGCUUAACCCCGGGCGUGCAGUGGAUACGGGCCGGCUGGAGGCAGGCAGGGGAGAAUGGAAUUCCCGGUGUAGCGGUGAAAUGCGCAGAUAUCGGGAGGAACACCGGUGGCGAAGGCGGUUCUCUGGGCCUGUACUGACGCUGAGGCACGAAAGCUAGGGGAGCAAACAGG
rnacentral:rRNA from 1 species